UUGAGCGUCCAACCCUGGCUCAGGUCAUGAUCUCACAGUUUGUGUGUUCAAGCCCCACAUCGGGCUUACUACUGUCUGUGCAGGGCCUGCUUCUGAUCUGCUGUCCUCAUCUCUCUCUGUUCCUCCUCUGCUCGUACCCUCUCUCUCUCUCAAAAAUAAACAUUAAAAGGAAAAAAAAAGAUCCAGCUGCCUCUCCUCAACCUGAAUCCUCCAUCACAGUCUUCAGGGAGAUCAGAGAAUGUCUCUUCACCAAGUUUCCCAGGUGAAAUUCCCUCAACUCUCUCUUUCACCCAAGGGCUCAGAGCAGCCAUGCCAGGCAAGAGGGGCAAAGAUCACUUCCGGCUGCGCACAGCCCUGUGCCAGGCAUCUGCUUUCCCUGAUUUCCUUAACCCUCAGAUCAACAAGUUUAACAGAAGAGGAAGCAGAGGCUCAGAGAAGUUUCAAGCCUACAGUCUCUGACGCCAAAGGCGGGACGGUUGCCUCCAUUUACAAGGCCCGGACUCAUCUGCAGCCUCCCACGCUCACUCCUACCUCCACUGGGGCCCAAAGGCGGGGCCUGGCUGAGUCCCCGGCCACUGGUGUGCGCCCAAGGGGGAAGGCUUAGGCCCUGGUGCUCCUCCAGUGGGCCUUUCCUGCCCAAAGAGCCCUGUAACCAACUGCUCACAGACGAAGGGGCUGGAGAAGCCCCCUGCCCUGGGGGCAUCUCAGCUACGACUCUCUCUAUCCAAGGCCCACAGCAUCCCCUCUGGGUGAGUGGGGGGUCAUCCUUGAAACAAUUGCUCUGAACAGGCUUAUGGGAAUGGGCUGGUAUCCUGGCAGAUCUUCAACUGGGUCUGUGGCUACAAUGUGCCAGAAAGGAAAUGGAAAAGCUUUAGUCCAUCUGGGAAAAUAGGAUAUCAUGGCUGAAACCCAAAUUCCGUAAUAGGACUUUCUGAUGUCCCUGGUUCCCCUUCACCUCGCUUCUAGGCUUCCAAGCAUCGCAACGGUGACCUCUGGGUCUUUGCACACACUGUUCCCUCCAACUGAAAUCUCUCUCAAGUCCCACCUGACCUGCACCGGACACUUAAGUGGUCCCUGGCAGUCAGUCUCCCUUUCUUCCUUCCUCACCAACAAAAAACUUUACUGGAAACAGAAGGCCCUCAGCCCCGGGGGACAAGACCUGGUCUGUGGCCUGCCCAUCCACCUUUGCGGGUUUUCCCACAUUUACAGUUAGAGGUGGCCAUGUGGCCCAUCUUCUAGACAAUGACAUCUUCUGGGGAAUUUUUGUUUCCUGAUGACUUCUUCUGCCUGGCAAUCGGGACGAGGCAUGGAGCUACCGCAACCUUCUAGGAGAUCCUGCAGCAGUAAGAUGAGAAGCCCCGCUGAGAGGAUGCAGGGGAAGCAUAGUAGGAGCCUGGCUCCUGGGUAGUACCACUGAGCCCAGUGCUGAGACUAUCUACCUAGCAGACUUCGGAGAGCAAAAUAUUCCCCUGUGUAUGCUAGUUAUUCUUUCAGCUGAAAACACCCCUGAUGCAUCAGCCUCUGGGUUCCAACUUAAAAACAUCACUUCCUCCCAGAAACACGGAUCCUAAGAACAGGAUCAAGGGACCCCUCCCCAGAGCAGUGGGUGCACUGUUCCUCUCGUGAUCUUUGCAGUAGUGUUCACCAGGUCACACCAUUUCCUAAGCCAGCAUAUCUGUGGAUGCCUAAGUAUGCCCACGGCUGACUGCCGACACAGCUUCCGUGGGGGCAAAGAUUGGGCCCGGCCCUUCCCAGCCUGCGAAAACAGUUGAAGCAGGACAACGGCAUAACCCCUACAAGGGCCGGGCAUUUACACACACAUCCUGGAAAGAGAUGGGGAGCACGGGGCCUGCUGAGAAGCGCUGGCUGCCCUUCCCUGCACUGGACGGUCUGCAUCCCGACCAGCGGAUCGCUCUGCAGCAGGAUGGAACGUUCCUCCCUCUGCCUUGGCCCGCUUCCAGUUAGUGCCACACCCUCCCAUAUCCUGUGUACAGAUUCGUCUGUGGUUUGGACGCUUAGCUGUAUGUGGAAGGGCAGGGAGACACCCAGGCUUUGGCCCCUCCCACAGGGAAGUAGAACCUAACAUGCAGUAACUCCUUAUACCGCAAAACUAUGCCUUGGUGACUCCGGUACCUCUUCCCUCAGCUGUGAAACACUGCCCCAGACGCACCCGGCUGGCUCAGUCAAAAGAGGGUGAGGCUCGAUUGGGGUCGAGAGUUCAAGUCCCAUGCAGGAUGCAGAAAUUACUGAAUAAAACUUCAAAAAAAUGUUAAGUGAAAUUUAAAAAAUAAAACAUUACCCGAAGUCUAGUUAAAAGUCACCCGGUUUCUCCUAUCUUCACAUUUUAGGAGCCCUCUAUUUCCCACCUUAUUUCCCUCCCAAGGGCUGAUCCUGUCUCUCAUAGCCAGCAGGACGUUUGGGUAUAUACUAGAAGCUGGGUGCUUUCAUGCAUUAUUUCACUUAAUCCUUGAAAUGUCAGUAUCUUCAUUUUACACACAACAGUACAUUGGCAACACUCUCUGAGCACUGUGGUCGCCACCUUAUACACGCCACAGCAAAUGCUUCCUAAAAGCUGCCACGGGUAUUCUACAUUCCCGUUUCGGAGAUGAAGAAACUAAGGUUCAGCAAUCAGGCGGCAGGGAGCAGGUGAGGAGCAAAGCUGUCCAACUCCAAAGCAUUUCAGAGUUGGGCCAACAGACCCACCCCUGGAAUAAUACCUAAGAGUACAUCGACGGUUAGGGUAUAAAAAUUUAUUACGUACACAGAAUAUUACCACUAACGAAUGCAGACAGGCUAGGACAGAAUGGUGCUGGGUGG